rnacentral:rRNA from 1 species
AAGUCGUAACAAGGUUUCCGUAGGUGAACCUGCGGAAGGAUCAUUACAGUGUUCCCUGCCCCCUGGGGGUAGGAUCGCCACCCUUGAUUACCUAUGAGUGUUGCUUUGGCGGGCCUCGCGGCCUGGCCGCGCCCCGGCUCCGGCGGGGGAGCGCCCGCCAGAGGAUUUUACAAACCUGAAUAUUAGUGUCGUCCGAGUACUAUAUAAUAGUUAAAACUUUCAACAACGGAUCUCUUGGUUCUGGCAUCGAUGAAGAACGCAGCGAAAUGCGAUAAGUAAUGUGAAUUGCAGAAUUCAGUGAAUCAUCGAAUCUUUGAACGCACAUUGCACCCUCUGGUAUUCCGGAGGGUAUGCCUGUUCGAGCGUCAUUUCAACCCUCAAGCUCUGCUUGGUAUUAGGCUGCGCCGGUAAUGCGGCGGGCCUCAAAAUCAGUGGCGGCGCCAUCUGGCUUCAAGCGUAGUAGUUACUUCUCGCUUCCGGAGAUCCAGGUGGUUGCUUGCCAGCGAACCCCAUACUUCUAAGGUUGACCUCGGAUCAGGUAGGGAUACCCGCUGAACUUAA